GGAAGUAAAAGUCGUAACAAGGUCUCCGUUGGUGAACCAGCGGAGGGAUCAUUACCGAGUUAUACAACUCAUCAACCCUGUGAACAUACCUAAAACGUUGCUUCGGCGGGAACAGACGGCCCUGUAACAACGGGCCGCCCCCGCCAGAGGACCCCUAACUCUGUUUUUAUAAUGUUUUUCUGAGUAAACAAGCAAAUAAAUUAAAACUUUCAACAACGGAUCUCUUGGCUCUGGCAUCGAUGAAGAACGCAGCGAAAUGCGAUAAGUAAUGUGAAUUGCAGAAUUCAGUGAAUCAUCGAAUCUUUGAACGCACAUUGCGCCCGCCAGUAUUCUGGCGGGCAUGCCUGUUCGAGCGUCAUUACAACCCUCAGGCCCCCGGGCCUGGCGUUGGGGAUCGGCGGAAGCCCCCUGUGGGCACACGCCGUCCCUCAAAUACAGUGGCGGUCCCGCCGCAGCUUCCAUUGCGUAGUAGCUAACACCUCGCAACUGGAGAGCGGCGCGGCCAUGCCGUAAAACACCCAACUUCUGAAUGUUGACCUCGAAUCAGGUAGGAAUACCCGCUGAACUUAAGCAUAUCAAUAAGCGGAGGAA
rnacentral:rRNA from 1 species